rnacentral:rRNA from 1 species
AUUGAACGCUGGCGGCAUGCCUUUCACAUGCAAGUCGAACGGCAGCACGGGAGCAAUCCUGGUGGCGAGUGGCGAACGGGUGAGUAAAGUAUCGGAACGUGCCCAGUCGUGGGGGAUAACGUAGCGAAAGCUACGCUAAUACCGCAUACGAUCUAUGGAUGAAAGCGGGGGAUCGCAAGACCUCGCGCGCUUGGAGCGGCCGAUAUCAGAUUAGGUAGUUGGUGGGGUAAAGGCCCACCAAGCCGACGAUCUGUAGCUGGUCUGAGAGGACGACCAGCCACACUGGGACUGAGACACGGCCCAGACUCCUACGGGAGGCAGCAGUGGGGAAUUUUGGACAAUGGGCGCAAGCCUGAUCCAGCAAUGCCGCGUGCAGGAUGAAGGCCUUCGGGUUGUAAACUGCUUUUGUACGGAGCGAAAAGGCUCUCUCUAAUACAGGGGGCUCAUGACGGUACCGUAAGAAUAAGCACCGGCUAACUACGUGCCAGCCGCCGCCGUAAUAC